GGGAAGGGUGAGAACCUUCGACUAAGGUUCGAUUCGAGCGAAAGCGAGAGAACGUUGCCACAGGCAACGGCCCGAAGGGUGAGGAGCGAAGCGACGAAUAAUCCUUCCCCCACCACCA
rnacentral:sRNA from 1 species